rnacentral:tRNA from 1 species
AAAAAGAUAGUUUAAUAAGAAUUUUGCUUUGUGGUAGCAAGGGUGUACAAGUUGCUCUUUUUA